CUAAUGAAGGCAAAGGUUCCAGCAGCAGCUACUGCAGAAGUGGAAAAGAAGAAAGGACUGGCGCUGUUUGGACCCAAACCGCCCACACCCAAACUUCUGCGUGCUUUUGGUGGCAACACUAACUUUUUGUCAAAAAUUAAGAGUGCUGCUGCCUCUGGCAAGUGAGGAUUGUAAUGAGCUUUUUUUAAAUAUAUACAUAUAUAUAUGUAUAUAUAUGUAUAUAUAUAUAUAUAUAUAUAUAUGUAUAUAUGUAUACACACAGUAUGUAACGUUUUUUGGAAGUGAAUGUACAGUUUUGUUUUCAACCUCUUUUUGUAAUAAGUGUGGAUGUCCUGUCAUUGUAAGAUACUGUUAAAAAAAAAGGAUGCCUCUGUUAUUUCCCAGAGUCAAAAAA